UGCAAGGGUGAUAUCUUCUUCCCCAUGAUACCGCUUCCACCAUCAUUGAUGUCAACAUCCUGCCCAUAUGGUAUACCAAGCUCUAAUAACAUUCAAGAUGGCUUUUUUCCUCAUCUCAGGUUGCUUGAUAUAAGAAAGAAUGCUGGGACAAAGAGGGUAGUAUAACAGUUAUAGGCAAUUUGUGGAAGAGAAAAUACUAAAGCCUGAUAAGCAUAUGAAGAGAUUAAGAAUAUAAACAUUUCUAUACAUUUAGGUACAAACAUGAAAUAGCAAUAUGCAUUGUGGAAGGCACAUAUCAAUAAAAGGAGUAGUGAAUAAAAUAAAUGGUAAAAUACUAAGAAUAGUUUUUGAGAAGUGUCUGUUCAUGUCCUUCGCCCACUUUUUGAUGGGGUUGUUUGU
rnacentral:lncRNA from 10 species